AAACCUGUGUUUGACUUCUGCCUGGGUUCACCUUCCAACUAAACCUAAGCAGAGGCUGCCUACACAUGAUAUCAUGAAGACAUUCUCCACACUUUGUGUUGCACUCAUGCUGCAUUUCACUGCCGUUGAUUUACAAGCAAGUGAUUGUGCACGUCUGCUUCAAAUAAAAAAUCAAUCCAAUACCACCUAUUCAAAGAAUUUAAUGGAAACUCACGUGCGCUGGAAGUUGACCGGUCAUUAUUAUCGGCAUGACUUCUUUUGUUUGGCUGAGAAAAGUCUAAACGCUGAAAAACAUAAUUUGUCUGAAUAUGACUCUGAAUGGAAAUUGACUGACAGUUUGACCCAAUACAUCAAAUUCAGCCAACAAAAACAAAAUUGCACACUCGAGCGCAACGAGAGCAUUCCUGUGAAGGAUCUUCUAACCAUCAUUAAAAAUUGUACCAGUAAAUUAUU